AACGAUGGCGCGUGGAAAGCACUCGCUCUGAUUAAGGUAAGAAGGAAAUCGAAGGCACGCGUGUUGUGAUUGGGCAUGAUUCUGCAGGAGGCAAAGUUGUUGAGCACAACCCCAAAAGAAUAACCAAACAAAACUUUAUAUAAAAAAAGAAAAAGAAAAAGAAAGAAAAUGAAGAAGAAAAAAACAAAUAAAAAGACAAAACCUAAUUUCCACCUC
rnacentral:lncRNA from 1 species